UUAGAGUUUGAUCCUGGCUCAGGAUUAACGCUGGCGGCAUGCCUAAUACAUGCAAGUCGAACGGAAAAUAUAGAAGUGCUUGCACAUUUAUAUUUUUAGUGGCGAACGGGUGAGUAAUAUAUAGAUAACCUACCUUCCAGUUGGGGAUAACAGAGGGAAACUUCUGCUAAUACCGAAUAUGAUAAAGAAACACAAGUAAUUUUAUUGAAAGGGGCUCCAAAGCCUCGCUAGAAGAGGGGUCUAUAUCGCAUUAGCUAGUUGGUAAGAUAACAGCCUACCAAGGCGAUGAUGCGUAGCUGUACUGAGAGGUAGAACAGCCACAUUGGGACUGAGAUACGGCCCAAACUCCUACGGGAGGCAGCAGUAGGGAAUUUUCGGCAAUGGGGGGAACCCUGACCGAGCAAUGCCGCGUGAUUGAAGACGGUCUUCGGACUGUAAAGAUCUGUUAUUAGGGAAGAAUUUUUACUUUAGGAAACGGAAGUAAAUUGACGGUGCCUAAUGAGGAAGCCCCGGCUAACUAUGUGCCAGCAGCCGCGGUAAUACAUAGGGGGCAAGCGUUAUCCGGAAUUAUUGGGCGUAAAGGGUACGUAGGCGGGCUUGCAAGUCUGAUUUGAAAGCACAUGGCUUAACCAUGUGAGGUAAUUAGAAACUACGAGUCUAGAGAGUGGUAGAGGUAAAUGGAAUUCCAAGUGGAGCGGUGAAAUGCGUAGAGAUUUGGAGGAACACCAGUGGCGAAGGCGGUUUACUGGGCCACAUCUGACGCUGAUGUACGAAAGCGUGGGGAUAAAGCAGGAUUAGAUACCCUGGUAGUCCACGC
rnacentral:rRNA from 1 species